GCAUCGAAACGGCAAACCACGUUAAAGCGUGGGACGCAAAGCCUCUGGCCUAAGUCCCGACGUACGGUGGCCAGAACAGCCACCGGGGAUACGGCAGCAGGGCUACCGAA
rnacentral:ncRNA from 1 species